rnacentral:rRNA from 1 species
GGAUUAGAUACCCUGGUAGUCCACGCCGUAAACGAUGUCGACUUGGAGGCUGUUCCCUUGAGGAGUGGCUUCCGGAGCUAACGCGUUAAGUCGACCGCCUGGGGAGUACGGCCGCAAGGUUAAAACUCAAAUGAAUUGACGGGGGCCCGCACAAGCGGUGGAGCAUGUGGUUUAAUUCGAUGCAACGCGAAGAACCUUACCUGGCCUUGACAUCCAGAGAACUUUCCAGAGAUGGAUUGGUGCCUUCGGGAACUCUGAGACAGGUGCUGCAUGGCUGUCGUCAGCUCGUGUUGUGAAAUGUUGGGUUAAGUCCCGCAACGAGCGCAACCCUUAUCCUUUGUUGCCAGCGAUUCGGUCGGGAACUCAAAGGAGACUGCCGGUGAUAAACCGGAGGAAGGUGGGGAUGACGUCAAGUCAUCAUGGCCCUUACGGCCAGGGCUACACACGUGCUACAAUGGCGCAUACAAAGAGAAGCGACCUCGCGAGAGCAAGCGGACCUCAUAAAGUGCGUCGUAGUCCGGAUCGGAGUCUGCAACUCGACUCCGUGAAGUCGGAAUCGCUAGUAAUCGUGGAUCAGAACGCCACGGUGAAUACGUUCCCGGGCCUUGUACACACCGCCCGUCACACCAUGGGAGUGGGUUGCAAAAGAAGUAGGUAGCUUAACCUUCGGGAGGGCGCUUACCACUUUGUGAUUCAUGACUGGGGUGAAGUCGUAACAAGGUAAC